rnacentral:rRNA from 1 species
UACGUAGGGGGCAAGCGUUGUCCGGAAUUAUUGGGCGUAAAGAGCGCGUAGGCGGUCCGAUAAGUCGACUGUGAAGUCCAGGGCUCAACCCUGGAAAGCCGGUCGAUACUGUCGGACUAGAGUCCGGAAGAGGCAAGUGGAAUUCCCGGUGUAGCGUGAAAUGCGCAGAUAUCGGGAGGAACACCAAUGGCGAAGGCAGCUUGCUGGGACAGUACUGACGCUGAGGCGCGAAAGCGUGGGGAGGCAAACAGG